rnacentral:rRNA from 1 species
AGCAGCCGCGGUAAUUCCAGCUCCAAUAGCGUAUAUUAAAGUUGUUGCAGUUAAAAGCUCGUAGUUGAAUUUCGGGGUCAGUAGGUUGGUCGUGCCACUGGUAUGUAUUGGUCUCACUGAUUCCUCCUUCCUGAUGAACCGUAAUGCCAUUAAUUUGGUGUUGCAGGGAAACUGGACUGUUACUUUGAAAAAUUAGAGUGUUUAAAGCAAGCUAACGCUUGAAUACAUUAGCAUGGAAUAAUGAAAUAGGACGAUCGAUCCUAUUUUGUUGGUUUCUAGGAUUGACGUAAUGAUUAAUAGGGAUAGUUGGGGGCAUUAGUAUUCAAUUGUCAGAGGUGAAAUUCUUGGAUUUAUUGAAGACUAACUACUGCGAAAGCAUUUGCCAAGGAUGUUUUCAUUAAUCAAGAACGAAAGUUAGGGGAUCGAAGACGAUCAGAUACCGUCGUAGUC